rnacentral:rRNA from 1 species
CACGUAGGGCGCAAGCGUUGUCCGGAAUUAUUGGGCGUAAAGAGCUCGUAGGCGGUCUGUUGCGUCCGCUGUGAAAACUCGGGGCUUAACCCCGGGCCUGCAGUGGGUACGGGCAGACUAGAGUGUGGUAGGGGAGACUGGAAUUCCUGGUGUAGCGGUGAAAUGCGCAGAUAUCAGGAGGAACACCGAUGGCGAAGGCAGGUCUCUGGGCCACUACUGACGCUGAGAAGCGAAAGCAUGGGGAGCGAACAGG